rnacentral:rRNA from 1 species
UACGUAGGGUGCAAGCGUUGUCCGGAAUUAUUGGGCGUAAAGAGCUUGUAGGCGGUUUGUCGCGUCUGCUGUGAAAUUUCGGGGCUCAACCCCGAACUUGCAGUGGGUACGGGCAGACUAGAGUGUGGUAGGGGAGACUGGAAUUCCUGGUGUAGCGGUGAAAUGCGCAGAUAUCAGGAGGAACACCCGUGGCGAAGGCGGCUCUCUGGGACGGUACUGACGCUGAGACGCGAAAGCGUGGGGAGCAAACAGG